UACAGAGGUCUCAAGCGUUGUUCGGAUUCAUUGGGCGUAAAGGGUGCGUAGGCGGCGCGGUAAGUCGGGUGUGAAAUCUCGGAGCUUAACUCCGAAACUGCAUUCGAUACUGCCGUGCUUGAGGACUGGAGAGGAGACUGGAAUUUACGGUGUAGCGGUGAAAUGCGUAGAUAUCGUGAGGAAGACCGGUGGCGAAGGCGGAUCUCUGGGCCUUACCUGACGCUGAGACGCGAAAGCGUGGGGAGCGAACCGG
rnacentral:rRNA from 1 species